rnacentral:rRNA from 1 species
GACGAACGCUGGCGGCGUGCCUAAUACAUGCAAGUCGAACGCACAGUUUAUACCGUAGCUUGCUACACCAUAAACUGUGAGUUGCGAACGGGUGAGUAACGCGUAGGUAACCUGCCUGGUAGCGGGGGAUAACUAUUGGAAACGAUAGCUAAUACCGCAUAAUAUUAAUUAUUGCAUGAUAAUUGAUUGAAAGAUGCAAUUGCAUCACUACCAGAUGGACCUGCGUUGUAUUAGCUAGUAGGUGAGGUAACGGCUCACCUAGGCGACGAUACAUAGCCGACCUGCGAGGGUGAUCGGCCACCCUGGGACUGAGACACGGCCCAGACUCCUACGGGAGGCAGCCGUAGGGAAUCUUCGGCAAUGGACGAAAGUCUGACCGAGCAACGCCGCGUGAGUGAAGAAGGUUUUCGGAUCGUAAAGCUCUGUUGUAAGAGAAGAACGGGUGUGAGAGUGGAAAGUUCACACUGUGACGGUAUCUGACCAGAAAGAGACGGCUAACUACGUG